AGAGUUUGAUCCUGGCUCAGGAUGAACGCUAGCGGCAGGCUUAACACAUGCAAGUCGAGGGGUAACAGGUUCCUUCGGGAAUGCUGACGACCGGCGCACGGGUGAGUAACGCGUAUGCAACCUUCCUGUAUCUGGAGGAUAGGCCUUGGAAACGAGGAUUAAUACUGCGUAAUAUUAUAUUAUCGCAUGGUAAAAUAAUCAAAUCUACGGAGGAUACAGAUGGGCAUGCGUGCCAUUAGCUAGAUGGUAAGGUAAGGGCUUACCAUGGCGACGAUGGCUAGGGGUUCUGCAAGGAAGAUCCCCCACACUGGUACUGAGACACGGACCAGACUCCUACGGGAGGCAGCAGUGAGGAAUAUUGGUCAAUGGAGGCAACUCUGAACCAGCCAAGCCGCGUGAAGGAAGACUGUUCUAUGAAUUGUAAACUUCUUUUGUGACAGAGUAAAGAUAGCUACGCGUAGUUAUUUGCAAGUAUGUCAUGAAUAAGCAUCGGCUAACUCCGUGCCAGCAGCCGCGGUAAUACGGAGGAUGCAGGCGUUAUCCGGAUUUAUUAGGUUUAAAGGGUGUUCAGGCUGUCUGGUAAGUCAGAGGUGAAAGUCGGUUGCUUAACGAUCGAAUUGCCUUUGAAACUGUCAGACUUGAGUAUGGAUGCGGUAGGCGGAAUGUGUAGUGUAGCGGUGAAAUGCAUAGAUAUUACACAGAACACCGAUUGCGAAAGCAGCUUACCAAACCAGCACUGACGCUGAAGCACGAAAGCGUGGGUAGCGAACAGGAUUAGAUACCCUGGUAGUCCACGCAGUAAACGAUGCUCACUCGCUGUUGGCAAUAGAUCGUCAGCGGCUAAGGAAACCGAUAGUGAGCCACCUGGGGAGUACGAUCGCAGAUUGAACUCAAAGGAUUGACGGGGCCGCACAGCGUGGAACAUGUGGUUUAUUCGA
rnacentral:rRNA from 1 species